GGGCUGCGGAGCGCGUCCUGCGCCGCCCCGCGGGCAGCGGCGGGGGGCGAGCGGGGAGCGACGGGCACCGGGCAGGGAUCGGGGAUCGGGAUCGGGACCGGGACCGGGACCGGUCUCUCUGUCCCGGUGAGAACAGCAGGGAUCUGCAGCGCCGUGGGACCUCCGUGGCUGGGUGUAAGCGGCAGGCUGUGCCUGGCGUGUCUUCAGGAGCAGUUCUGCAGGAGGCGUGCUGUGCGGUGUAACGGGCACCGGGCUUGGCGCAGCCUGGCGAUAACCAGUUGGAUCUGUGCGUAUGCCGCACGUCUGUCUCAGGGGCAUUGCUCGCUGGGCCUGGCAAAGCAAGAAGUGCAGCUCAUCUUCUAGGUACAGCAGCUUUAAUAUGUUACAGGUGAAGAAAAGUGAGGAGAUGCUGCCCCUUGAACAGCCUUACCCUCCCCAAAAAGGAAGAACACUUGAAGUUGAUCCUGAUUUCAACAAAAGUUUUCAUUCCAACUACUUGCUCUUUUCAGUGCAGAUGCACAUUCAGCAGUAUAACUCUUUUCCAGACCCUGUCCUCCUCUCAUUAAUAAUUACAUGCAAGUAAUGAAUAAUCCAGUAAAGCCUGUGGAAUCAGAUUUCCACAAAGUUCAUGUGUGCAACAGAAGGACAAAGUAUGGGAUGUAGCAGUGAUGUACUGCGAUCAGCAUGAGCUACGGCUCAAGUGAUGAAAUGGGGCUGUGAACUCUCUGUGCAUGCAUACAGUUUACUAAUGCAGUGCUCAUUGUUGUGAGAAGAAAA